CGGAAAGGCGCCAAUCUCAGAUUGUUUGUUGUUGUGUUGUUUCGGUCAGAGUUGUAGCUGUUGCUUUCACGACAAAAUGAAUAACAAAGACGCCCGCACAUCGCGAACACAGUACCAACAAAUGGUAGAUGAGUUGGAAAAGGUCCCUGACAUCGCCAGAGGGAUGUAUAAAGGUGACCAGACCGCUUUCUGGGAGGAAAUGGCUGAGCACCUUAACGCCCUGGGACCGCCGAUAAGAACGGGUGCAACGUGGAAGAGGGUUUGGUUUGAUUAUAAAUGUGCGGUGAAAAAAAAAACUCCGUGUGAACAAAGCGUCUUUGUUGGCCACUGGUGGCGGCCCGUUUCAGCAAAGGCCAUUAAACGACGUGGAAGAAAGAGUGGCCAAUUUGACGAACUUGAAGGCCACCAUAGAAGGGAAUUCAGGCCGCUCUUGGGGCAAUUUAAACAACAACUAUGACAACAACAACAACAACAACAACAACAACAGCAACAACAACAACAGCAGCAACAACAGCAGCCAAUUGUUGCCAAUCGGCAACAACGAGGAGCCAAACAGCGGCAGCGGGGCGCCAAACAACGGCAGCGAGA